rnacentral:lncRNA from 1 species
CUCGCUGCCUCACUCCCUCACAUAGAAAUCCCCAGAUCCACUCCACUCCCUUCGUCUCCCACCACGGCCCCCUCUCAUCCCUUACCCUCCACCCAUCCGCCGGCGGCCAGAUGCGGACACAGCCGCCCCCCUCGUCUCCCCUCCCUUCCAAUCCUCUCCCGCACGGCGGCGCCGACAGCGAUGCAGAGGUCUCCGUGAUUUCCCUCAUCCUCCUUCUACCCUGUCGGCGGAGGCCGGUCGAUUUACAUGGCCUAGCUUCUCAAUCCACCUACACAUCCUGAUGGUGGACCACAGCGACGUUGACCGGAAGCUCAUCGAGAUGCUGCUCAAGACCUACUCCUCCUGGUUUUUAUUCCUCCUCCCUCCAUUUAAAUUCCUCUCUUCCUUUCCCUNNNNNUUUCCCUACCGAUUGUUCCCACCACCGCCCCCUCUCAUCCCCUGCCAUGCAGUCGUCCAACAGCGGCCAACAGCCCUGACGUCCUCACCAGCGACUUCGCCGAUCUCGCCGUCGGUCUCGCCAUCGCCGCGCUAACAGAGAUCUAGCAGGCCGACCCCUACGUGUGAACUAGCUUGUGGAAGGCAUGUCGCCCGCCAUGGAUGGACCUCCCUCUGCUCCUAGCCACACAGGAGGAAACCACUCCCUCCCGUCCUCAAGGUCAUCUCCUCCCCCUCUCAUCCCUUGGCUUGUUGCACGAGUAACCCUCACAUGCUCUCCACCUUUCCUCCAAGAUGAAGACCAAACAAUAAUAGACUUUUGUUAACAAUGUGUGUCAUAG